UCUUUUCUGUGGUUCACUUGCGCAAUAAGGGGUUUCCGUGCUCGACGCUCGUCGCCGUGCACGGAAGCCUCGUAAAAAAGGGGGAGCAGCGAGCUUUUCUCGGAGAAGCCUUCGCCGUCGCCGUCGUCGUCGUUGUGCUUGCGAUGCUGCUGCUGUGCUCUGUCUCGAAAGAUAAUGCGUUGUUGAUGUGGGCCGCGAUAAGAAGACACACAUCAUCCUCAUGCACGCUAUCGCGGUGAACAGAAUGGGCAAGCAAAACGGCUCGUGUUGGUGGUGCGUGAAGGCCGUCAAAUGGAUACCAGUGAUCUUCAUUCUGACGAUCGUUGCCUGGUCCUAUUAUGCUUAUGUGGUGCAAUUGUGCUAUUAUACAAUAGACAAUUAUGUUCAAAAAGGUUUCUAUCUACUUUUCUUCCAUGUUCUAUUUCUGAUGUUUUUAUGGUCAUAUUGGCAAACAGUAUUCACAGAUUUAAUGCCAGUACCAGAUAAGUUUAAAAUACCUGAUGUCGAAAUAGAGAAAUUACAGCAAGCUGAAACUGAAGAGGCACAGAGACAAAUUUUGGAAAGAUUUGCUCAGGAUCUUCCAGUUACCAAUCGUACCAUAAAAGGAGCCAUGCGAUUUUGUGAGAAGUGUCAGUUGAUAAAACCUGAUAGAGCACAUCAUUGCAGUGUGUGUGGUACUUGCGUCUUAAAAAUGGAUCAUCAUUGUCCAUGGGUGAACAACUGUGUAGGCUUUCACAAUUAUAAAUUCUUCAUGUUGUUUCUGGCAUAUGCACUUCUGUACUGUAUGUUUAUCACCGCCACAUCCUUGCAAUACUUUAUACAAUUUUGGAGAGGUGAAUUAGAUGGAAUGGGUAGAUUUCACCUACUCUUCCUUUUUUUUGUUGCGUUGAUGUUCGCAGUCAGUCUUAACUCUCUUUUCUUCUAUCAUUGCUAUCUAGUUGUGCAUAAUAGGUCGACACUAGAGGCCUUCAGAACCCCCAUGUUCCGAACAGGAAAGGACAAAGAUGGCUUUAGCCUGGGAAAAUAUAAUAAUUUUCAGGAAGUAUUUGGCGACAAUGCACGACUCUGGUUCCUUCCUGUAUUUAGUAGCUUUGGAGACGGGGUAAACUUUCCCGAGCGGCUGUGCAAUGAGGAUACUCAUACUCUGUUGGGCCAUGGCACCCAACAGUGGGGUGAUGAUACCGACUUUGACUCCCCACCUCCCUACGUAAAUCAGGUACUUCGUAGGUUCGAUCUUUAGAUCAAGAGACAAUAAUCUUGUCUGCGUCGCUGGCACAUAUCAAAAUGCCGGCGUUAAUACGGCAAUUAUCGUAGCUUCUUUGUAAGUUACACAUAUAGACACUCGUUAUCAUUUAACAAUCUGUACGUAGCCGUAAGAUCUCUACCUCAAUUCAGAUACAAGAUGUUCCACAAUUCAGAAUUAAGAGAUGGCGAAUUGUGGGACACCGUGUAUAUUCGGAGGACUCGACACAUGUUCUCACGCCAUAAAUAGCGAAUAAGUUCGAUGUACACUUUGUAGAAAGAGUUUUCCGUUUGUCACUAAGUGGCAUUAUUCGUAUACCAUUAUUUAAUGACACUGCUCCGUUUAAUUAUCAAACAGUAUUCAUCAAUAAUGAGCAAUGAAUGUAUACGUACAUUCCGAUAGUUAUUACAAGUAUUUGUAUUUUAUUGUUAACGGAUGGACGAUCUCUAGAGGACGAGUAAAGUAGAAGAUAAGUAUAGGUAGAGUACUAGUGAGUAAAAUAGUGUGUAAGCAUAUUACACAUCUGUACCAGGAGGACACGGUUCUUUUGUUGUAAAAAUAUAAGAUUUUGUUUAUAUUUUUCAUUCAGAAUUUUUCUCCACUCUACGUUGUACGUGCUGUACAAUACAUGUCGGCAAAGAUAGAUAUGAAAACAUGAAUUGCUCAGUAUUAUCGUUUGCGGAUGGUAUCAUGGUUGGACGUACUAUUUAUCAAUAUACGUUGAUCAGAUGCGUGGUCUUUUAGAUUCCCUACAUUUCGUAUGUGCAUCACAUGAAGUUUUGUCGUAAAUAUACAGAUAAGCUUACAAAAUACAUCACGCUACGAAAUUACAGUAAGUGUGUCUCUGAAUACAGUAUUCAUAAAUAUCAAGUAUUGUUUUCUUUUUGCCGAGUACGCGAACUUCCGCUUUCAUUAACACAAACUAAUUUAUACGAACCGUUUGCUGCUUAUUUUUCCCCUAAUAAUUCUAUUACAUCAUUAUAAUUCCCUUUUAAUAAUUUUGAAAUAACUUGUUUGAAAAAGUUCAUAAUUAUAUUAUUAACUUGUUACAAUUGCGUUAUGUAUUUAUAUACUUUUCUGUUUGAAAAAGAGAAGAGAAAUGUAUUUCUCUUUUACAUUUUAUAUGUGUAUCACACACAAAGUAAAUUUGUUUUGUAUACAUAAUUUUUUUGUAAGCUUGUACACGUCUCUCUCUUUCUUCAUGAUUAGCUCAUCGAAACGUGCAAACUUGAAUUUCAUUUACAGCGUACAUGUAUUUACGCGCACAUCUUAUACAUGUAGGUAAAUACAGUAGCACUUAUUUUCUGUUAAUGUAAUUCAUGUUACUUAAUUUCUGAUUGACCACAGGUCCACCAUUGAUCAAAUGACAUUGGUAGAAGAAGCUACAAUUUUGGCUCUUGGCACUGGCACUGCUGUGAUAGGUCCUGGUGUUGAUGCCGACCAACCACCACUGUUGACUACCGCGGAAUCUGUUUGAACGGCACCGUUUGCAUGAAAAACCUCACGUUAUAUGCCUCUAUGAAAUUGUAAUUUCCCUUACGACGUAGCGAGUACAGUUCGAAAUGCCGACUUAUUUUCGGUGUUUCCUUUCUUUUUUUUUUCUAUACUCUAAAGUGGAAUUAAUUUAUCGGUAUGAUGCGUCGGGAUUACGUGAUGCUCCUCUUGCGAAGGAAAUUCAUCAAAUGGUUAUUGCAGUAAGUGCAAAUAUUUUUAACGUUAGAUAUUGCCCCGCGCCAAGAUACUUUUAAUAUUGACUGUAUUAUAUACAUAUAUUGUAAUAUAUACACGGAUCGUUGUUAAAAUUAUUGUUAUGGUUACUCAUAAUUUUAAUCAUAGUAUAUUUCACAUUAUAAGUGAAUCAUCUCCUUAUAAAUACGAUACAUAAUAUAUCGAUGUCAUUAUAAAUUUACAAAUUGCUUGAAUGUAGAUUACGACUUGUACCAUUGAACAGUGAGAAGCGUCACAUUGCGAUUUAAAUCCGGAAAAUACUGCAUUUGCAAUGAACAUCCUUAUUAAGAUAUAGAUACGUACACGUGUGUGCUGAACAAGAGAAGAAUUACAAAUAUGAAAAUUCGUCCACACAAACUUUACUGUGAGAAAGAAAUUAUAUAGGAUGAUUCUAAAUAGUAAUUUUGAAUGGGAUUGGUAUAAUAUAUAUAAAUUAACGAUUUUACUGAUGUUAAUUUUAUAGAAAGUAUUAAUCAUUUUUAAGUUGCGUGAUAAAUUUAGUAGUAAUAUAAAUUUAGUAAAAUACAUUUAUUGGAAACGUAUUAUAUUAUUUCAAGAGUGUUUAUAAAAUAUGCGUGAAAAAUGCUAAAGUAUAUUUUUUCUCUCUUGCUCUGUCUCUCUCUGUAAAUGUAUCAAACUUAACUUCUUAUACGUAUGGAGAGAAUCAUCCUAUUAAUUUUUAAAAAAUAGAUACUUAAUAUAGAUCAUAAUUUUAUUCUAUAUGAUACAAAAUCUUUGAUUGAGUGCCAUUGAUUUUAUAACUUUUUAAUAAUUUCAAUUUUGAUGCAAUGUUGCUUUAUCGCACACACAUAAACACACACAUACAUAUAUAUAUAUUAUCAGGAAUAUCUGUUGUCUUUUUCUUUACAUUAAAUGAGAUAACUGUGUAAUAUUAACUAUUAAUAAUAUAUUACAUAACAGAAUUAAGAAAACAAGAGUUUGUACUUAUAUGCAUAAAUAAUUUUGUUUUUUUGCGGCUUAUAUGUCAAAUUGGAGAGACAAUGUUAUCUCUAUAAAUAUCUAAUUACAGAAAAUAAAUUAUCCUAUUAAUGUUUUAUGCAAAAUUUGUUACAUGCUAUGAAUUUUUGGGCACAAAAGAUUGUACAUAUGUUUCAUAUUGGACUGCCAUAUUUGCUUGUACAAGUUUCUUAAGAAAUUACUUAUAUUUAUAUUUAUGAGUAAUGUAUAAUAAUAGUAAAUAUAUAUUUAUUGCUAAUUUCA